GGUGGGAGCUGGAGGAGGACCGCUGUUGCCAGAGACCACAUGAGCACUGACCUCUGGCCCUGGCCGCAGCAGUAGCUGCUGUUGCAAUGGGCCUUUGCCAUGCCCCAGUCCUAGGGGAACAUCUGCAGAUCAGCGGUUGUCUUGGAAUAGGCCAUGGGAAAGUCAAGAGAAGCCACGGUGCUUGAAAACCAUCCCGGAAUCCCACUGGGACACUGUGCCAGAAUACACUGAGCCCUAAAGAACAGCGACAGAGCUGAGUAGUUGCAACAGACUGCGUCACCCACACAGCUGAACACGUUUGCUACCUAGCCCUUUACAGGCGACGUUUGCCCAGCCCUGGCCUGAAGAGUUCCCCAGAUCUAUACCCAUUAGAAAUCACAGCGAGAAAGAGAGAUGGGGAGGAGCUCAACAAGAGGCGAGAGAUAGGAAAGAAGCAUUACAGUUUGGCAAAAAUGUGAGUCAGGGACCCUCCCUUUUUCUAACCCCUGGAAGCUCUGGCUGGAGCUCAUCUUGCCUCCAGAUGCAGAAAGUAGAUUCUACACCAUGGGACCGCUGUCUACAGCCAUAUCACCGUGAAUGCACACAAUCUCAGAAGCCAAGCAGGGCCUGACCUGGUUUGUACUUGGAUGGGAGCCAUCACAGCGUCACUUUUGAAAUCCCUGGCAAAUAGAUUACAUAAUAGUUGGGCCUAUUGUGGGUUUUUGGCAAGAGAAAAAUAAUAGAAGAGAAAGAGAAAGAGGUAUGUGUUUCUGCUCCUGUUGAAAUACCAUUUGUCCUUUAAGACUUCCUGCUCUGUGAAGUUUUCUUCAAAUUCUGUCCCAUCCCACUCACCCCUGU